rnacentral:rRNA from 1 species
UACGAAGGGGGGCUAGCGUUGCUCGGAUUGACUGGGCGUAAAGGGCGCGUAGGCGGUUCGUACAGUCAGACGUGAAAUUCCUGGGCUCAACCUGGGGGCUGCGUUUGAUACGUGCGGACUUGAGUGCGGAAGAGGGUCGUGGAAUUCCCAGUGUAGAGGUGAAAUUCGUAGAUAUUGGGAAGAACACCGGUGGCGAAGGCGGCGACCUGGUCCGAUACUGACGCUGAGGAGCGAAAGCGUGGGGAGCAAACAGG